AUUGAACGCUGGCGGCAUGCUUUACACAUGCAAGUCGAACGGUAACAGGCCGCAAGGUGCUGACGAGUGGCGCACGGGGGAGUAAUGCAUCGGAACGUGCCCAGUCGUGGGGGAUAACUACUCGAAAGAGUAGCUAAUACCGCAUACGAUCUAUGGAUGAAAGCGGGGGACCGUAAGGCCUCGCGCGAUUGGAGCGGCCGAUGUCAGAUUAGGUAGUUGGUGGGGUAAAGGCUCACCAAGCCAACGAUCUGUAGCUGGUCUGAGAGGACGACCAGCCACACUGGGACUGAGACACGGCCCAGACUCCUACGGGAGGCAGCAGUGGGGAAUUUUGGACAAUGGGCGCAAGCCUGAUCCAGCAAUGCCGCGUGCAGGAAGAAGGCCUUCGGGUUGUAAACUGCUUUUGUACGGAACGAAACGGCUCUGGUUAAUACCCGGGGCUAAUGACGGUACCGUAAGAAUAAGCACCGGCUAACUACGUG
rnacentral:rRNA from 1 species